UUCCUCUCAGGGUCACACCUGGAGAGUUUCCAGUCCUCUACCAGUCUCGGCUACAGGAGGGAGAGUCAAGCAGAAGCCGACCCAUUCCACUCCCAGCUCGGACAGUGGCGGGCGAGUGGAAGGCAAUCUGCUACAAGU